rnacentral:rRNA from 1 species
UACGUAGGGGGCAAGCGUUGUCCGGAUUUAUUGGGCGUAAAGAGCGUGUAGGCGGCCAGGUAGGUCAGCUGUGAAAACUCGAGGCUCAACCUCGAGACGUCGGUUGAAACCAUCUGGCUAGAGUCCGGAAGAGGAGAGUGGAAUUCCCGGUGUAGCGGUGAAAUGCGCAGAUAUCGGGAAGAACACCCGUGGCGAAGGCGGCUCUCUGGGACGGUAUUGACGCUGAGGUGCGAAAGCGUGGGGAGCAAACAGG